GUGGCUAACGGAACCCUCGCUGCUUUGAAAAGCAAAGAGGGAUUUUGAAAAGGGGAAAAAAUUAAUUCAGAGCCCCCGGCGACCGUCACUUCCGGUUCCGAUUGCAGCGCUUGGCUUCCUCCAUGUAGGGGGCGAGAGUGGUGAAUGGUUCCUCGUUAAGUGAGCCAGGCAAGGCAAAAUCAAGACACCACCAAUGAAAGUUCAAUCACUGAGAUUGAGCUGUCGCUUCCUAUGGUUGCAUCUUGGUUUUGCCACUUGGAAUGCAUUUGUGGGUGUGUCUCAUCUUGGUUCCCAACCUCAGGCACAUUGUUGUAGUUCUUCCCAAGUAUUUUACCUGCAUUAUUUUAUUGCUGCUGCAGAAGGAAAAUGCAUGCCAGAAACUGUAAGUAUUUUAAACUUACUUUGUUGGUAUGUGGUUUGUUUAUUGAAAAGGGCAUAAAAAGGGAGUUAGCUGCUUCACACAGCUGAACACAAUAAGUAAGGUUUAAUAACCUGUAUUCCUACACUUCACUAAACUGCUUAAUGAUGGGAAUUAAAUUCUGCUGUGGGCUUUCUCCCACCAGAAAAAUUGCAAAGCCCUGUAUUUUGAAAACAGGGACCAGCCGUUUUCCUUUGUGUUCAUCCACACACGUGGGUCUCUAGAGUUUUAAAUAUAACUAAUAUAUCCUCUUACCAAUUUCCAUAUCAGGAAGGGGGGGGGGGAGAAGUGGGUUAAAAAAACAACAGUGAAGCAAUCCAAAAGACAGUAGUAGGUGUGCUACAGUACUGUGUGGAGCAGAACACAAAUGAAUAUGGCGUCCAAGCAUAUGAGUAAGAUUCAAUCUGUGUGUGAGAGAGACCCAUUUCCAGCUAGAAAGAGCGAGAUCGAUAAUAUAUACAAAUGCCUAAAGAGGGGAAAUUACUUUCUGCAGUCAGCUAGAGACCAGAUACUAUAAUAUCAAAUUUGCUUAUUAAUUCCAAUUCAGCAGCUUCAUGUUGAAGUGGGGGGGGGGGAGCAGAUAGGGAAAAUGUUGGAGAAAAGUGAU